rnacentral:rRNA from 1 species
ACUCCUACGGGAGGCAGCAGUAGGGAAUCUUCCGCAAUGGACGAAAGUCUGACGGAGCAACGCCGCGUGAGCGAAGAAGGCCUUCGGGUCGUAAAGCUCUGUUGUUAGGGAAGAACAAGUACGAGAGUAACUGCUCGUACCUUGACGGUACCUAACCAGAAAGCCACGGCUAACUACGUGCCAGCAGCCGCGGUAAUACGUAGGUGGCAAGCGUUGUCCGGAAUUAUUGGGCGUAAAGCGCGCGCAGGUGGUUCCUUAAGUCUGAUGUGAAAGCCCACGGCUCAACCGUGGAGGGUCAUUGGAAACUGGGGGACUUGAGUGCAGAAGAGGAAAGCGGAAUUCCAAGUGUAGCGGUGAAAUGCGUAGAGAUUUGGAGGAACACCAGUGGCGAAGGCGACUUUCUGGUCUGUAACUGACACUGAGGCGCGAAAGCGUGGGGAGCGAACAGGAUUAGAUACCCUGGUAGUCCACGCCGUAAACGAUGAGUGCU